rnacentral:rRNA from 1 species
AGUUUGAUCCUGGCUCAGAUUGAACGCUGGCGGCAUGCCUUACACAUGCAAGUCGAACGGCAGCACGGGAGCAAUCCUGGUGGCGAGUGGCGAACGGGUGAGUAAUAUAUCGGAACGUGCCCAGUCGUGGGGGAUAACGCAGCGAAAGCUGUGCUAAUACCGCAUACGAUCUACGGAUGAAAGCGGGGGACUCGCAAGAGCCUCGCGCGAUUGGAGCGGCCGAUAUCAGAUUAGCUAGUUGGUGGGGUAAAAGCCCACCAAGGCGACGAUCUGUAGCUGGUCUGAGAGGACGACCAGCCACACUGGAACUGAGACACGGUCCAGACUCCUACGGGAGGCAGCAGUGGGGAAUUUUGGACAAUGGGCGCAAGCCUGAUCCAGCAAUGCCGCGUGCAGGAUGAAGGCCUUCGGGUUGUAAACUGCUUUUGUACGGAACGAAAAGGCCUGUUUUAAUACAGUGGGCUCAUGACGGUACCGUAAGAAUAAGCACCGGCUAACUACGUGCCAGCAGCCGCGGUAAUACGUAGGGUGCGAGCGUUAAUCGGAAUUACUGGGCGUAAAGCGUGCGCAGGCGGUUUUGUAAGACAGAUGUGAAAUCCCCGGGCUCAACCUGGGACCUGCAUUUGUGACUGCAAGGCUAGAGUACGGUAGAGGGGGAUGGAAUUCCGCGUGUAGCAGUGAAAUGCGUAGAUAUGCGGAGGAACACCGAUGGCGAAGGCAAUCCCCUGGACCUGUACUGACGCUCAUGCACGAAAGCGUGGGGAGCAAACAGGAUUAGAUACCCUGGUAGA